GUUAUAUGGUCAAGCGAAUAAGCGCACACGGUGGAUGCCUUGGCGGUCAGAGGCGAUGAAGGACGUGGCAGCCUGCGAAAAGUAUCGGGGAGCUGGCAACAAGCUUUGAUCCGGUAAUGUCCGAAUGGGGAAACCCACCCGCUUGCGGGUAUCCUGCAGUGAAUACAUAGCUGCUGGAAGCGAACCUGGUGAACUGAAAUAUCUAAGUAACCAGAGGAAAAGAAAUCAACCGAGAUUCCGUAAGUAGCGACGAGCGAACGCGGACUAGCCCUUAAGCUGAUUUGGUUCUAGGAAAACGCUCUGGAAAGAGCGGCCAUAGAAGGUGAUAGCCCUGUAUCUGAAAGGGCCAUUUCAGUGAAGACGAGUAGGGCGGGGCACGUGAAACCCUGUCUGAACAUGGGGGGACCAUCCUCCAAGGCUAAAUACUACUGACCGACCGAUAGUGAACCAGUACCGUGAGGGAAAGGCGAAAAGAACCCCGGAGAGGGGAGUGAAAUAGAACCUGAAACCGUGUGCGUACAAGCAGUAGGAGCUCCGCAAGGAGUGACUGCGUACCUUUUGUAUAAUGGGUCAGCGACUUACUGUUCGUGGCAAGCUUAACCGUAUAGGGGAGGCGAAGGGAAACCGAGUCUGAUAAGGGCGCAUAGUCGCGGGCAGUAGACCCGAAACCGGGUGAUCUAGUCAUGCCCAGGGUGAAGGUGCGGUAACACGCACUGGAGGCCCGAACCCACUCCCGUUGCAAAGGUAGGGGAUGAGGUGUGAUUAGGAGUGAAAAGCUAAUCGAACCCGGAGAUAGCUGGUUCUCCUCGAAAGCUAUUUAGGUAGCGCCUCAUAUGUAUCCUCUCGGGGGUAGAGCACUGUUAUGGCUAGGGGGUCAUCGCGACUUACCAAACCAUUGCAAACUCCGAAUACCGAGACGGACUGUAUGGGAGACACACGGCGGGUGCUAACGUCCGUCGUGAAAAGGGAAACAACCCAGACCCACAGCUAAGGUCCCAAAUUUUGUGCUAAGUGGAAAACCAUGUGGAAAGGCACAGACAGCCAGGAGGUUGGCUUAGAAGCAGCCACCCUUUAAAGAAAGCGUAAUAGCUCACUGGUCGAGUCGGUCUGCGGGGAAGAUUUAACGGGGCUAAGCACAGAACCGAAGCUUGGGGUGCAUAACUUUGUUAUGCGCGGUAGAGGAGCGUUCCGUAAGCCGUUGAAGGUGGAUUGAGAAGUCUGCUGGAGGUAUCGGAAGUGCGAAUGCUGACAUGAGUAACGAUAAUGCGGGUGAAAAACCCGCACGCCGAAAGCCCAAGGUUUCCUUGCGCAACGUUAAUCGGCGCAGGGUGAGUCGGCCCCUAAGGCGAGGACGAAAGUCGUAGUCGAUGGGAAGCAGGUUAAUAUUCCUGCACCUCGCGUAAGUGCGAUGGAGGGACGGAGAAGGUUAGGUGUACCAGGCGUUGGUUGUCCUGGGGAAAGGCGGUAGGUUUGGAUCUUUGGCAAAUCCGGGAUCCUUUAAGACCGAGCACCGAGACGAGCCUUUAAGGCGAAGUCACUGAUACCACGCUUCCAGGAAAAGCUCCUAAGCUUCAGCUUACGCAGACCGUACCGUAAACCGACACAGGUGGGUAGGAUGAGAAUUCUCAGGCGCUUGAGAGAACUCGGGUGAAGGAACUAGGCAACAUGGCACCGUAACUUCGGGAGAAGGUGCACCCUUUUUGGUGGCUCAUGCGAGCUAUAGCUGAAGAGGGUCGCAGUAACCAGGCCGCUGCGACUGUUUAUCAAAAACACAGCACUCUGCAAACACGAAAGUGGACGUAUAGGGUGUGACGCCUGCCCGGUGCUGGAAGGUUAAUUGAUGGGGUCAGCCGCAAGGCGAAGCUCUUGAUCGAAGCCCCAGUAAACGGCGGCCGUAACUAUAACGGUCCUAAGGUAGCGAAAUUCCUUGUCGGGUAAGUUCCGACCUGCACGAAUGGCGUAACGACAGCGGCGCUGUCUCCACCCGAGACUCAGUGAAAUUGAAAUCGCUGUGAAGAUGCAGCGUUCCCGUGGCAAGACGGAAAGACCCCGUGAACCUUUACUAUAGCUUUACACUGAACGUUGAGUUCGUCUGUGUAGGAUAGGUGGGAGGCUAUGAAACCAUGGCGCUAGCUGUGGCGGAGCCAUCCUUGAAAUACCACCCUGUCGUGCUUGACGUUCUAACCUGGGCCCAUUAUCUGGGUCGGGGACCGUGUAUGGUGGGUAGUUUGACUGGGGCGGUCUCCUCCUAAAGAGUAACGGAGGAGCUCGAAGGUACGCUCAGCGCGGUCGGACAUCGCGCACUGUGUGCAAAGGCAUAAGCGUGCUUGACUGCAAGAUCGACGGAUCAAGCAGGUAGGAAACUAGGACUUAGUGAUCCGGUGGUUCUGUAUGGAAGGGCCAUCGCUCAACGGAUAAAAGGUACUCCGGGGAUAACAGGCUGAUACCGCCCAAGAGUUCAUAUCGACGGCGGUGUUUGGCACCUCGAUGUCGGCUCAUCACAUCCUGGGGCUGUAGUCGGUCCCAAGGGUAUGGCUGUUCGCCAUUUAAAGUGGUACGCGAGCUGGGUUCAGAACGUCGUGAGACAGUUCGGUCCCUAUCUGCCAUGGGCGUUGGAGAUUUGAGAGGGGCUGCUCCUAGUACGAGAGGACCGGAGUGGACGAACCUCUGGUGUUCCGGUUGUCACGCCAGUGGCAUUGCCGGGUAGCUAUGUUCGGAAGCGAUAACCGCUGAAAGCAUCUAAGCGGGAAGCGCGCCUCAAGAUGAGAUCUCCCGGGGCACAAGCCCCCUGAAGGAACCAUGUAGACUACGUGGUUGAUAGGUCAGGUGUGUAAGUACAGCAAUGUAUUGAGCUAACUGAUACUAAUGAUCCGUGCGGCUUGACCAUAUAACCU
rnacentral:rRNA from 1 species